rnacentral:rRNA from 1 species
CGGAGAAAUUCCAAUCGAACUUGGAGAUAGCUGGUUCUCUCCGAAAUAGCUUUAGGGCUAGCCUCAAGUGAUGAUUAUUGGAGGUAGAGCACUGUUUGGACGAGGGGCCCCUCUCGGGUUACCGAAUUCAGACAAACUCCGAAUGCCAAAUAAUUUAACUUGGGAGUCAGAAUGUGGGUGAUAAGGUCCAUAUUCGAAAGGGAAACAGCCCAGACCACCAGCUAAGGUCCCAAAAUAUAUGUUAAGUGGAAAAGGAUGUGGCGUUGCCCAGACAACUAGGAUGUUGGCUUAGAAGCAGCCAUCAUUUAAAGAGUGCGUAAUAGCUCACUAGUCGAGUGACACUGCGCCGAAAAUGUACCGGGGCUAAACAUAUUACCGAAGCUGUGGAUUGUCCUUUGGACAAUGGUAGGAGAGCGUUCUAAGGGCGUUGAAGCAUGAUCGCAAGGACAUGUGGAGCGCUUAGAAGUGAGAAUGCCGGUGUGAGUAGCGAAAGACGGGUGAGAAUCCCGUCCACCGAUUGACUAAGGUUUCCAGAGGAAGGCUCGUCCGCUCUGGGUUAGUCGGGUCCUAAGCUGAGGCCGACAGGCGUAGGCGAUGGAUAACAGGUUGAUAUUCCUGUACCACCAUUAUUCGUUUUAAGCGAUGGGGGGACGCAGUAGGAUAGGCGAAGCGUGCUGUUGGAGUGCACGUCCAAGCAGUGAGAUUGAGUGUUAGGCAAAUCCGGCACUCUUAAGAUUGAGCUGUGAUGGGGAGAGGAACUUGUUCCUCGAGUCGUUGAUUUCACACUGCCGAGAAAAGCCUCUAGCUAGAAUAACGGUGCCCGUACCGCAAACCGACACAGGUAGUCAAGAUGAGAAUUCUAAGGUGAGCGAGCGAACUCUCGUUAAGGAACUCGGCAAAAUGACCCCGUAACUUCGGGAGAAGGGGUGCUCUUUGAGGUUCACGCUUCGAAGAGCCGCAGUGAAUAGGCCCAAGCGACUGUUUAUCAAAAACACAGGUCUCUGCUAAACCGUAAGGUGACGUAUAGGGGCUGACGCCUGCCCGGUGCUGGAAGGUUAAGAGGAGUGGUUAGCGCAAGCGAAGCUACGAAUCGAAGCCCCAGUAAACGGCGGCCGUAACUAUAACGGUCCUAAGGUAGCGAAAUUCCUUGUCGGGUAAGUUCCGACCCGCACGAAAGGCGUAACGAUUUGGGCACUGUCUCAACGAGAGACUCGGUGAAAUCAUAGUACCGGUGAAGAUGCCGGUUACCCGCGACAGGACGGAAAGACCCCGUGGAGCUUUACUGUAGCCUGAUAUUGAAAUUCGGUACAGUUUGUACAGGAUAGGUAGGAGCCUUAGAAGCGUGAGCGCUAGCUUACGUGGAGGCAUUGGUGGGAUACUACCCUAAUUGUAUUGGAUUUCUAACCCGCAGCACUUAUCGUGCUGGGAGACAGUGUCAGGCGGGCAGUUUGACUGGGGCGGUCGCCUCCUAAAGAGUAACGGAGGCGCUCAAAGGUUCCCUCAGAAUGGUUGGAAAUCAUUCAUAGAGUGUAAAGGCAUAAGGGAGCUUGACUGCGAGACCUACAAGUCGAGCAGGGUCGAAAGACGGACUUAGUGAUCCGGUGGUUCCGCAUGGAAGGGCCAUCGCUCAACGGAUAAAAGCUACCCCGGGGAUAACAGGCUUAUCUCCCCCAAGAGUUCACAUCGACGGGGAGGUUUGGCACCUCGAUGUCGGCUCAUCGCAUCCUGGGGCUGUAGUCGGUCCCAAGGGUUGGGCUGUUCGCCCAUUAAAGCGGUACGCGAGCUGGGUUCAGAACGUCGUGAGACAGUUCGGUCCCUAUCCGUCGUGGGCGUAGGAAAUUUGAGAGGAGCUGUCCUUAGUACGAGAGGACCGGGAUGGACAUACCUCUGGUGUACCAGUU